GACAGAGGGUGCAAACGUUGUUCGGAAUUACUGGGCGUAAAGGGCGCGUAGGCGGCCUUCUAAGUCGAACGUGAAAUCCCCGGGCUCAACCCGGGAACUGCGUCCGAUACUGGAAGGCUUGAAUCCGGGAGAGGGAUGUGGAAUUCCAGGUGUAGCGGUGAAAUGCGUAGAUAUCUGGAGGAACACCGGUGGCGAAGGCGACAUCCUGGACCGGUAUUGACGCUGAGGCGCGAAAGCCAGGGGAGCAAAGCGGG
rnacentral:rRNA from 1 species